UACGUAGGAGGCAAGCGUUGUCCGGAAUUACUGGGCGUAAAGCGCGUGUAGGUGGUGGGACAAGUCUGCUGUGAAAGCGCCUGGCUUAACCGGGCGAGGUCGGCGGAAACUGUCCGACUCGAGUCCGGAAGAGGUGAGUGGAACUGCGAGUGUAGAGGUGAAAUUCGUAGAUAUUCGCAAGAACACCAGUGGCGAAGGCGGCUCACUGGUCCGGUACUGACGCUGAGGUGCGAAAGCGUGGGGAGCAAACAGG
rnacentral:rRNA from 1 species